AAGGGCUUGUUGUUAAGAUGAAGAGUACGAGUAAGAUAGGGGUAGCAGGGGGCAAUGAUUUGAAUGAACACGGGGCAAGUGUCGACACAUGCAUUAGGGUUGAGUUCGAACCAAGCAGCGUUAGCAUUAAGGCGGUCAAGCUUUUCUAAAAUCAUGCCCCUAUGCCGCUUAAGGUUUGACCAAGUGAACUUACUAUCACUAAAACCUAGGUCGAUCAUGC
rnacentral:lncRNA from 1 species